UUCUUGUGUUUUAUAUUUUAUUUUGAUUUUUGAAUCCAAUUUUUGCGAUUUUGAUUGCGAAAUUAGGGUUUUCCGAAUCAUUUGUUUGAGUAUUUGUGAUUCCAGUUGUAAUAUUAGGGAAUUUACAAUUUUACGAUGCCGCAUUUGCAAUUUUGUUGUUGAAUUUCGCUUCCUAUACAUCGAGUCUUCAUUUUCUAUAUCCAGUUCUUCAAUGAUUUUCAUUAAGCGCUCAACUACUUACUCGUAUUGCCUUAACUUUGAUCCAAAUCGUUGAUUUUUCUGUUUAUUUUUCGAAUAUGUGUAAAUUGCUGAAGUUACGAUUUUUUUUUGUUAUUAUUAUUUGAUUGAAAAUUUUAAUUUCAAUUGUUGUAAUUAGGGUUUUUAGUCGAAUUUGUAUAGUAGUAUAGUUUAUUUUAAUGUAACUAUUGUUUUUGUUUGAUUUUCAUGUUUUAUUGCUGUUAUUUUUUUGCUUUCUACUUAUUUGUCAUGUUCCGAAUCUUAGGAAUUGCAUUCGAGUAUAUAUCCUAAGCUUAAGGUUUUCAUACUACCUGGUUUGAAACUUUCCAUCAUGUGUAAGUUUAUUUUUUAUAUGGGAUGUAUGAUUUGUAAGUAUGUUUACUCUACUUUGUUUGGGAAAUCGUUACAUUCUUUGUUUCUGAGAUUGCUACAUCCUGUAAUUGACAUAUUAGACUGUCUUCUGUCAUGUACCUGAGAGUGCACUUAUGCUGAUGUUUGAGUAUCUGUAAUGGAUGUUGUGAUUUAUCCACUCCAUGGGUCGUUGCCCCCGGAGUUACAGAAAAACAGAGUGAAGAAAGUACGAGCUUCAAUUUCAAUGAGAUUCAAGGAUUUCGAACACAAUUUCAUUUGAUUUUUGUCAGAAUUCAGCAGCAACAAGAAUCAACAAGCUUCAUAGAUUAUACAGGUUGGGAUUAGGUCUAUCCAAAGUGAAAUGUCAAACAUUAAUAUCAGGGGGAGUGCGAGGUACCCUUUCUUGGAUGGCACCUGAGCUUCUGAGUGGCAGCAACAGUCUAGUCUCGCCUCUGAGAAGGCUGACGUGUUCUCUUUUGGUAUUGUUUUGUGGGAACUUCUCACUGGAGAAGAGCCAUAUGCUGACUUGCACUAUGGGGCUAUUAGUGGAGGAAUUGUGAGCAACACUUUGUGACCACCUGUUCCUGUGAAUUGUGACCCAGAGUGGAGAGAUGCUGGGCUGCAGACCCACUACAGAGGCCGAACUUCACAGAAAUCGCCAACGAGUUGCGCGUUAUGGCUGCCAAAAUUUCAGCUAAGGGGCAAACACCAGUUACAACUACAAGAACAAACACCUAGUUGGUUUUAAUUUUCUUGGCUCUCAUUCAGUUAAUGUCUAGUUGGAGUAUGUAUAUGGCCUAUGCUAAUUUGGCAUCAUAGUCUUAUGGAUAUCAUAUGGAUAGUUGCUCAUUUGUCAAAUGAGCAAACAAUUCUUUGUUCAUUUUAUCAAAUGAGUAAAUAAUUCUUUGUUCA